rnacentral:rRNA from 1 species
UACGGAGGGUGCGAGCGUUGUCCGGAAUCAUUGGGCGUAAAGGGCGCGUAGGUGGCCCGGUCAGUUCGUGGUGAAAGCGCGGGGCUCAACCCUGCGUCGGCCAUGAAUACUGCCGCGGCUGGAGCACUGUAGAGGCAGGCGGAAUUCCGGGUGUAGCGGUGGAAUGCGUAGAGAUCCGGAAGAACACCGGUGGCGAAGGCGGCCUGACUGG